ACAGGUAUAGCUCAGUGGUAGAGCGUGUGCCUAGCAUGCACGAGGUCCUGGGUUCAAUCCCCAGUACUUCCA
rnacentral:tRNA from 1 species